rnacentral:rRNA from 1 species
GAUGAACGCUGGCGGCGUGCCUAAUACAUGCAAGUCGAGCGAACAGACGAGGAGCUUGCUCCUCUGACGUUAGCGGCGGACGGGUGAGUAACACGUGGAUAACCUACCUAUAAGACUGGGAUAACUUCGGGAAACCGGAGCUAAUACCGGAUAAUAUAUUGAACCGCAUGGUUCAAUAGUGAAAGACGGUUUUGCUGUCACUUAUAGAUGGAUCCGCGCCGCAUUAGCUAGUUGGUAAGGUAACGGCUUACCAAGGCGACGAUGCGUACCCGACCUGAGAGGGUGAUCGGCCACACUGGAACUGAGACACGGUCCAGACUCCUACGGGAGGUAGCAGUAGGGAAUCUUCCGCAAUGGGCGAAAGCCUGACGGAGCAACGCCGCGUGAGUGAUGAAGGUCUUCGGAUCGUAAAACUCUGUUAUUAGGGAAGAACAAAUGUGUAAGUAACUAUGCACGUCUUGACGGUACCUAAUCAGAAAGCCACGGCUAACUACGUG